CACCUACUCCCUCCGUCCGAAAAUACUUGUCAUAAAAAUAAAUAAAAGGGGAUGUAUCUAGAUGUAUUUUAGUUCUAGAUACAUCCCUUUUUGUCCAUUUUGAUGACAAGUAUUUUCGGACGGAGGGAGUAGCAU
rnacentral:pre_miRNA from 1 species